rnacentral:rRNA from 1 species
AGGGUUUGAUUAUGGCUCAGGAUGAACGCUGGCGGCGUGCUUAACACAUGCAAGUCGAACGAAGCUGCUUUUUGGAAGCCUUCGGGUGGAAGAUAAGUAGACUGAGUGGCGGACGGGUGAGUAACGCGUGGGUAACCUACCCUGUACAGGGGGAUAACAGUUAGAAAUGACUGCUAAUACCGCAUAAGCGCACGAUACCGCAUGGUAUUGUGUGAAAAGUUUUUUCGGUACAGGAUGGACCCGCGUCUGAUUAGCUAGUUGGUAAGGUAAUGGCUCACCAAGGCGACGAUCAGUAGCCGGCUUUAACGAGUGAACGGCCACAUUGGGACUGAGACACGGCCCAA